rnacentral:rRNA from 1 species
ACGGAGGAUCCAAGCGUUAUCCGGAUUUACUGGGUUUAAAGGGUGCGUAGGCGGAUUAAUAAGUCAGUGGUGAAAUCCUACAGCUUAACUGUAGAACUGCCAUUGAUACUGUUAGUCUUGAGUAUUGUUGAGGUGGGCGGAAUUUGUCAUGUAGCGGUGAAAUGCUUAGAUAUGACAAAGAACACCAAUCGCGAAGGCAGUUCACCAAACAAUAACUGACGCUGAGGCACGAAAGCGUGGGGAUCAAACAG